AUACGGAGGGAGCUAGCGUUGUUCGGAAUUACUGGGCGUAAAGCGCACGUAGGCGGCUUUGUAAGUUAGAGGUGAAAGCCUGGAGCUCAACUCCAGAAUUGCCUUUAAGACUGCAUCGCUUGAAUCCAGGAGAGGUGAGUGGAAUUCCGAGUGUAGAGGUGAAAUUCGUAGAUAUUCGGAAGAACACCAGUGGCGAAGGCGGCUCACUGGACUGGUAUUGACGCUGAGGUGCGAAAGCGUGGGGAGAAAACAGGAUUAGAUACCCUGGUAGUCCACGCCGUAAACGAUGAUAACUAGCUGUCCGGGGACUUGGUCUUUGGGUGGCGCAGCUAACGCAUUAAGUAAUCCACCUGGGAAGUACGACCGCAAGGUUGAA
rnacentral:rRNA from 1 species